rnacentral:rRNA from 1 species
UACGUAGGGACCGAGCGUUGUCCGGAUUCAUUGGGCGUAAAGAGCUCGUAGGCGGCUUGUCGCGUCGACUGUGAAAACCCGCGGCUCAACCGUGUGGCGGGCAGUUGAUACGGGCAGGCUAGAGUUCGGUAGGGGAGACUGGAAUUCCUGGUGUAGCGGUGAAAUGCGCAGAUAUCAGGAGGAACACCGGUGGCGAAGGCGGGUCUCUGGGCCGAUACUGACGCUGAGGAGCGAAAGCGUGGGGAGCGAACAGG